rnacentral:rRNA from 1 species
GGCCCGCACAAGCGGAGGAGCAUGUGGUUUAAUUCGAUGAUACGCGAGGAACCUUACCUAGACUUGAACGUAAGAGGAAUAUUUAAGAAAUUAGAUAGCCAGCAAUGGCCUCUUACGAGGUGCUGCAUGGUUGUCGUCAGCUCGUGCCGUGAGGUGUCAGGUUAAGUCCUAUAACGAGCGCAACCCCUGCACAUAGUUGCCAGCAUGUAAUGAUGGGGACUCUAUGUGGACUGCCGGCGCAAGCCGCGAGGAAGGUGGGGAUGACGUCAAAUCAGCACGGCCCUUACGUCUAGGGCGACACACGUGCUACAAUGGCCGAUACAGAGGGCAGCUACCUGGUGACAGGAUGCGAAUCUCGAAAGUCGGUCUCAGUUCGGAUCGGAGUCUGCAACUCGACUCCGUGAAGUCGGAUUCGCUAGUAAUCGCGCAUCAGCCAUGGCGCGGUGAAUACG